AGGACGAACGCUGGCGGCGUGCCUAAUACAUGCAAGUCGAACGGUCUUUCUAUGGAAGCUUGCUUCCACUGAGAAGAUAGUGGCGAACGGGUGAGUAACACGUGGGUAACCUGCCCAUAAGAGGGGGAUAACAUCCGGAAACGGGUGCUAAUACCGCAUAGUUUUCUUGAUCGCAUGAUUGAGAAAGGAAAGACGGCCUUUGUGCUGUCGCUUAUGGAUGGACCCGCGGCGUAUUAGUUAGUUGGUGAGGUAACGGCUCACCAAGACGAUGGUACGUAGCCGACCUGAGAGGGUGAUCGGCCACAUUGGGACUGAGACACGGCCCAAACUCCUACGGGAGGCAGCAGUAGGGAAUCUUCCGCAAUGGACGAAAGUCUGACGGAGCAACGCCGCGUGAGUGAAGAAAGGUUUUCGGAUCGUAAAACUCUGUUGUCAGAGAAGAACAAGUUGGAGAGUAACUGCUCCAGCCUUGACGGUAUCUGACCAGAAAGCCACGGCUAACUACGUGCCAGCAGCCGC
rnacentral:rRNA from 1 species